rnacentral:tRNA from 11 species
CGUGGCCGAGUGGUACGGCGCUCGGCUGCCAUGCCAAAGGCUGUGGGUUCA